rnacentral:rRNA from 1 species
AUUGAACGCUGGCGGCAGGCCUAACACAUGCAAGUCGAGCGGGGUUUUCGGACCUAGCGGCGGACGGGUGAGUAAUGCGUAGGAAGCUACCCGAUAGAGGGGGAUACCAGUUGGAAACGACUGUUAAUACCGCAUAAUGUCUACGGACCAAAGUGUGGGACCUUCGGGCCACAUGCUAUCGGAUGCGCCUACGUGGGAUUAGCUAGUUGGUGAGGUAAUGGCUCACCAAGGCGACGAUCACUAGCUGGUUUGCGAGGAUGAUCAGCCACACUGGAACUGAGACACGGUCCAGACUCCUACGGGAGGCAGCAGUGGGGAAUAUUGGACAAUGGGCGCAAGCCUGAUCCAGCCAUGCCGCGUGUGUGAAGAAGGCCUUCGGGUUGUAAAGCACUUUCAGUAGGGAGGAAGCGUUGUGUGUUAAUAGUACACAGCGUUGACGUUACCUACAGAAGAAGCACCGGCUAACUCUGUGCCAGCCGCCGCCGUAAAAC